GUGCCAGCCGCCGCGGUAAUACGGAGGAUGCAAGCGUUAUCCGGAAUUAUUGGGCGUAAAGCGUCCGCAGGUGGUUUAGGAAGUCUGCUGUCAAAGCGCGAGGCUAAACUUCGUAAAGGCAGUGGAAACCUUUAGACUAGAGUUUGGUAGGGGUCACGGGAAUUCCCAGUGUAGCGGUGAAAUGCGUAGAGAUUGGGAAGAACACCAGCGGCGAAAGCGCGUGACUGGGCCUGAACUGACACUCAUGGACGAAAGCUAGGGGAGCGAAAGGGAUUAGAUACCCCUGUAGUCCUAGCCGUAAACGAUGACAACUAGGUGUUGCCCGUAUCGACCCGGGCAGUGCCGUAGCCAACGCGUUAAGUUGUCCGCCUGGGAGUACGCACGCAAGUGUGAAACUCAAAGGAAUUGACGG
rnacentral:rRNA from 1 species